rnacentral:rRNA from 1 species
UUAGUGGCGGACGGGUGAGUAACGCGUGGGUAACCUGCCCUGUACAGGGGGACAACAGCCGGAAACGGCUGCUAAUACCGCAUAAGCCUGCGGGGCCGCAUGGUCCGGCAGGAAAAGCUGCGGCGGUACAGGAUGGGCCCGCGUCUGAUUAGCCAGUUGGCGGGGUAACGGCCCACCAAAGCAACGAUCAGUAGCCGGCUUGAGAGAGCGAACGGCCACAUUGGGACUGAGACACGGCCCAAACUCCUACGGAAGGCAGCAG